GGGGAUUGCCUCAGUAACGGCGAGUGAAGCGGCAACAGCUCAAAUUUGAAAGCCCGCGGGCGUUGUAAUUUGCAGGCGGAUGUUUUGGGGCGGGCGCUGUCUACGUUCCUUGGAACAGGACGCCGCAGAGGGUGAGAGCCCCGUGCGAUGGCGCCUCCAACCGCGUAAAACUCCGCCGACGAGUCGAGUUGUUUGGGAAUGCAGCUCCAAGUGGGUGGUAAAUUCCAUCUAAAGCUAAAUACUGGCGAGAGACCGAUAGCGAACAAGUACAGUGAUGGAAAGAUGAAAAGCACUUUGAAAAGAGAGUGAAACAGCACGUGAAAUUGUUGAAAGGGAAGGGUAUGCGAUUAGCGGCCAGCAGGAGGUGCCUUCUCGUGAAAAGGCCGUGCACCGUCUUCGGACACCGUGCGCGGAGAUGGCGAGGGGGCGCCUGAGGUCUGCGACUCGAGGUUGCUGGCGUAAUGAUUGCAUACCACCCGUCUUGAAACACGGACC
rnacentral:rRNA from 1 species